UCCGAAUUGGUGUAGUGGUUAACAUCUGACGUUUUCACUUGCGAAAUCCGUCGAGCCCGGGGUUCGAUUCCCCGAUUCGGAG